GGCCGACUGGUGUAGCGGUUAUCACGUUUCGCUCACAUUUUAACAAGUGUGAAGCUCCGAAAAGGUCCCCGGUUCGAUCCCGGGGUUGGUCA